rnacentral:lncRNA from 1 species
ACCUGUUGAGCAUGCAUGGCAAAUAAUAAUGCGUUCUUGGAGCUCGUCAUAUCGAUCUAGUAUGAGAUCGCCAUCCUCAUCCACGGCGAUGGCAUUCUGGUCAACCUUCUUGACUGCAAAUUCAGCACCGUUGUCAACUUUGAAGGCCCCUUCGAAAUGCAAAAUUAGACUGCAUGAAGUUUUUUCUAGGACAAAAAUAUUGAAAGAGUCACACACCUCUCAGACUGGAAUCAGAUUUUGGCAGCAAGACAAACGUUGAUACAGCUACAUGAUCGGCAAGAUCCUUGUGGACGUCGCUCCGAAUGUCGUCCAUGAGACAUUGCGAUGGUUACACAAGGCACAGUAGCUGAUAAA